rnacentral:rRNA from 1 species
GUCGCGUCUGUCGUGAAAGUCCGGGGCUUAACCCCGGAUCUGCGGUGGGUACGGGCAGACUAGAGUGCAGUAAGGGAGACUGGAAUUCCUGGUGUACCGGUGGAAUGCGCAAAUAUCAGGAGGAACACCGAUGGCGAAGGCAGGUCUCUGGGCUGUAACUGACGCUAAGGAGCGAAAGCAUGGGGAGCGAACAGGAUUAGAUACCCUGGUAGUCCAUGCCGUAAACGUUGGGCACUAGGUGUGGGGACCAUUCCACGGUUUCCGCGCCGCAUCUAACGCAUUAAGUGCCCCGCCUGGGGAGUACGGCCGCAAGGCUAAAACUCAAAGGAAUUGACGGGGGCCCGCACAAGCGGCGGAGCAUGCGGAUUAAUUCGAUGCAACGCGAAGAACCUUACCAAGGCUUGACAUGUUCUCGAUCGCCGUAGAGAUACAGUUUCCCCUUUGG